AUCAGAUAAUUAGAGACCUAGGGGGAGAUCUUUUUAGACCCUUAAGAGAACACAGCAGCGGCGGCGCACCUUCCAGCUCUCUGCUUGCUUCUCCAUUUCUAAGAACACAUACACAUAUGAAAAUACAAGGAUAAAAAUUUUGAUUUUCAGAUCUGGAAAAGAUGACUCCAAAAAAUUUAAAAAAAAAGGAAAAGAGAACGAUGAAAAAGAAGAUUUAAAGCUGGUUUUGGGUUUGUCAUUCAAUUGAUACACAUUUUUUAGGAUUUCUCUAAAUGGUUUGAGCUAUUGAAAUUCUCGAAUUUGCUGGAGCUGUUUGGUUUUUGGAGCUGCCGGGUUAUCUGGUUUGGAGUUGUAGACUUGCACUCUAGCUAACUGAAUUUCCACUGCUGUUUGUUUCAUUUUACAUUCAGAGCUUAUUUUCUAUUUUAUUGUUCUUGAAGAUCGUCAUCGUUUUUUUUUGUUGUUAUUCUCUAUAUAAAUUACCGCUUCAAUUAUUUUUCUUAGGUUGUUGUUGUGAGUUGUUAGUAAAUAUUCCCUAUUCUGUGCAUUUGCAAGUCAAGUUCUACUUUCAAUUUUGACAAUAUAAAUCAGUGGCAUAAAUGAAUUUUUGUCUCCAUCACUUAACUGACUACAAAUUAAAUAGGACCAUUUCACUAAAUC
rnacentral:lncRNA from 1 species